rnacentral:rRNA from 1 species
GAUGAACGCUGACAGAAUGCUUAACACAUGCAAGUCAUUGGCGAAGCUGCGCUUGCGCAGUCUAGCCAAGGCGGACGGGUGAGUAACGCGUAAGGAACUUGCCCUGCAGACAGGGAUAACAGACGGAAACGACUGAUAACACCUGGGAUUGUCAGGCUGGCGCAUGCCGGCCUGAUGAAAGGAGACGCUGCGGGAGAGCCUUGCGUCCGAUUAGCUAGUUGGUGGGGUAACGGCCCACCAAGCCGAUGAUAGGUAGCCGGCCUGAGAGGGUGAACGGCCACAAGGGGACUGAGAUACGGCCCUUACUCCUACGGGAGGCAGCAGUGGAGAAUAUUGGACAAUGGGGGCAACCCUGAUCCAGCAAUUCUGUGUGCACGAAGAAGGUUUUCGGAUUGUAAAGUGCUUUCAGCAGGGAAGAAGAAAGUGACGGUACCUGCAGAAGAAGCGACGGCUAAAUACGUG